rnacentral:tRNA from 1 species
GAGGGUGUAGCUCAGUGGUAGAGAGCAUGCCUAGCAAGCUCAAGGUCCUGUGUUCAAUCCCCAGUACCUCCA